rnacentral:lncRNA from 1 species
UACUGUCGAGAAUGUCUCUGAUGGGAUAUAGGUAUAAGUGUUCCUUAGAUCUGAGAUCACCUCAGUGACUUGCAAGCAACUCAUAGUGCUUUGGUACUGGACUAAUUGAAUUUCUAAUUUAGUGAUGGAAGGCUUCUGAGCAUAGUCAAGUACUUACAAAGUCAGAGUGUGAUCGAGAUGGGAUUGACCACUCCAAGAGUUGGAGAAGAAUAAGUCACUGUAUUUCAAUUUAGCAAAAUCUUGGCCAGGGUAAUCCAUCAGAUGGAUUUGACAUUUUGAAAUACAAUGUGGACACCC